CCUACGGUAGGCUGCAGUGGGGAAUAUUGGACAAUGGGCGAAAGCCUGAUCCAGCCAUGCCGCGUGUGUGAAGAAGGCCUUCGGGUUGUAAAGCACUUUCAGUGGGGAAGAAAGCCUUGGGGCUAAUACCCUCGAGGAAGGACAUCACCCACAGAAGAAGCACCGGCUAACUCCGUGCCAGCAGCCGCGGUAAUACGGAGGGUGCGAGCGUUAAUCGGAAUUACUGGGCGUAAAGCGCGCGUAGGCGGUCUGAUAAGCCGGUUGUGAAAGCCCCGGGCUCAACCUGGGAACGGCAUCCGGAACUGUCAGGCUAGAGUGCAGGAGAGGAAGGUAGAAUUCCCGGUGUAGCGGUGAAAUGCGUAGAGAUCGGGAGGAAUACCAGUGGCGAAGGCGGCCUUCUGGACUGACACUGACGCUGAGGUGCGAAAGCGUGGGUAGCAAACAGGAUUAGAUACCCUAGUAGUC
rnacentral:rRNA from 1 species